UCUGCCAGCACAGUGGCACGUGUGUGUGGUACAGGUUAUUCCUGCUCCUGUGCAGGCAUUAGCAGUCACUUGCAUCUUUCGAGUGUUCAGCUGGCACAGGUGUUACAGGCGAAAGUGAUCCUUCACAAGGCCUGAUGAUGUGCACAGAUGUUUUGGCAGCUGCUGAGACCACACCUGCUUCCAUUUGUGUGCAGAGGGACCUGACCCUUUACAUGUCAGGCUUGCCAGACAUCUGCUUUCCAGCUGUCCAAAUGAGCAUCCUACAGAACCCCUGCAAAUCUGAGCUCUCCAGUUCAUAGCACCCCAACACUACUGAGCCCUGCAGUGACUCCCACAAGACAUGAAGGACUGGCAGUAAAGCUGUGUGCUUUGGGACACAGGCAUCCUGUUCAGCCUGAGUGAAAAACUUGAGCUUUU